rnacentral:rRNA from 1 species
GUCUCUUUGAGUUUUUUUAAUAAAGAGUUGGGCCUGCUCGGUGAUUAAUAUUUAACAGCUGCCGGGAUUAUAACUGUACUAAGGGAGCAUAAUAAUUUGCCUUAUAAAUUGAGGCUAGAAUGAAUGGNUUGACCAAAAUUAUACUGGCUCUAGUUUAUUUAUUAAAAUUUAAUUUUUAUAGUGAGAAAGCUUGGAUAAUUUAAAGGGACGAAAAGAACCUAUUGAGCUUUAUAUUAUAUUUAUGAAUAUUUAUUUGUUUAUUUAAUAUAAUUUUGGUUGGGGUGAUCAAGGAAUAAAAAUUAGUUUAUAUUAACUUCCUUAAUUGUUUGUAUAUAUAUAUUGAAUAAACCAAAUUUUUUGCUUAGAAGAUAAGUUACCAUAGGGAUAACAGCGUAAUUUUUUUUGAAAGUUCAUAUUGAAAAAGAGAUUGCGACCUCGAUGUUGGAUUAAAAUAACCUUAAGGUGUAGAGGCUUUAAUUGGUAAAUCUGUUCGAUUUUUAAAAUUUU